GGGUGUUGGUUUGGUCAGCAUAGAUGUGCAGUGAAACUGGAGGGCUACUUUUCUAAUAUAAUUUCUUGGUAGUGGUUGGUUUGACAACUGCAGUUAUGGUACCUGGAUGGAUGACUUAUUACACUACCUUCGUACUGAUAUCACUCACUCUUAUAUUCCAUGCCUUCAUUUAAUGAACAAAUCUCAGAAGAGUGGGAAUGCCCCGUUGAAAUGAGGAGUUUUAUUAAGGAGCACAAAUCCAUGAUCAGUCACAGAUUCGAGUUGACGACUGUGGCUAUGAUCCCUGGAUGAAUGGCUUGUUAUACUGCCUUCCUCUUGAUGUUGUAUCUUAUAUUCUAUGCAUCUGCUAGUGAAUAAAUCUCAGAAGAAUGGGCAGCGCCCUGCUGAAAUGACAAGUUUUUGUAAGGAGUACAAAUCCAUGUUCAGAUGCUCUGAUGGCAAAUUUAGUUUUGCAAGUCUUGCUUUGCGAUGAGAUGCAGUCUUUGAUAUAAUAGCAAGGGGAUCACACCAAAACCAGAAUGCUCCCGGUUAUGACCCAUGAGUUCAAGUCAUGGAAACAAUUUCUUCAAUUGCCGAGGGAAGGCUAUGCAUGUCAGGCCUUCCUCAAAGCUGUGGAUAUAUGUUGGGAAGUUUGUGUAGGGGGUGUCGCACCCAAGUCUGAAGGUCAUGGUUAUUGGUUCAUGGAAACAGGCUCUUUGAUUGUGAAGGUCAUGUGAAGUUCAUGUCGUCUCAGCAUUGAAAUUCUCUCACUCCUCCAAAAACCAAGAAAAGGAUUUAAAAACUGAACUAUGGAAGGUAAAUAACGUUCAGAGACAUGAAUGGAUCCAGAGAUGCUGUGGAGUAUGAUUCAGUUUUUGGCUUCUUUAUGGUGUUCUGCUUCUGAUUUGUUUCUGGUCGGCUUAUUGGUGUGCAAAAAAUGAAACUAGGGAGCUAAUUUUCUAAUAUAUUCUUUAUGGUUUCUUUUCUAAUGAUCUGGCGUAUUGUAAUCUCUUUUUGUAAUAUUAUUUGUUCUAACUGAAAAAUUCUUCAAGCAGAAUCUCUGGUUGGAAUCAACUAAAUAAAUUCUGUUUGAAAAAGCUACAUCAAUCAUUUUAUAGAAUCUGUACA